UACGAAGGGGGCUAGCGUUGCUCGGAAUUACUGGGCGUAAAGCGCACGUAGGCGGCUAUUUAAGUGAGGGGUGAAAUCCCGGGGCUCAACCCUGGAACUGCCUCUCAUACUGGGUAUCUCGAGUUCGAGAGAGGUGAGUGGAAUUGCGAGUGUAGAGGUGAAAUUCGUAGAUAUUCGCAGGAACACCAGUGGCGAAGGCGGCUCACUGGCUCGAUACUGACGCUGAGGUGCGAAAGCGUGGGGAGCAAACAGG
rnacentral:rRNA from 1 species